CUAAAUCCUGGGCUUGCUGUAAGAAAUCACAGCAGGAGCUUGCUUUUAAGAAGUGCCAAGGCUCAGCUCAACUAGUCAGCAUCUAGAAGAAUACUUGGGACAUGUUCAAUAACCAUUUAUAGAAGAAGAAAGAGAAAAAAAGAAACCUGAGGAGGAAGGGAAGGACUAAAAAGUUCUCCAUUUGAAUCAAAGUCACGGCUGGCAUUUUAUUACUUGGCUUGGAUGCAUCACGCCCUCCUGCACAGGCAUCUGACUACAGGAAUACUCAAACUGACAUAAACAUGCAGACUUCAGGGAGAAAAGCCUGAGAACUCAGAACAGAAAAUUAGAUUAUUAGUGUUUUCUCUCAACCUUGACAGUACCACAUUUGGUGAAGGAUUGAAAAUUCUUGGCUAAAUCCUCUUUUUGAUUCAUUUUGAUUAAACUAGAAUGUUUUUGUAGUGAAAUGUUUAUACAUCACCUAGAGACAGAAAGACUGCUUUUGAAACUGUGAACUUGAAUAGAAAGAGAGAGCAACAAGAAUGUUUACUUGCAAUUUCAGGACAUAAAGGCAAAUAUUCGAGAUGAUGAUUUUCUUGCUCUCACAGUCACUUAAAAAAUAAAGAAAUUAAAAUUCCCUUUGAAAUAGUAGUGAGAUCUCAUGUGAGGCUUUUGCUCUGUCAUAGAAAACUAGCAUUAGAGGCAAAUAUACUUGACUCUCAGGAAUUUGGAAACCAGAACUGCCAGUGGUUUAAUUAGGACAGUUCUACUAAUUUGACCUAGAAUUAUGAGAAGUAUUUUAAUUUAAAUUACUCAGCAAGACCACUGUAUCAUACUAAUGAUGUCAAGGGCUUAUGUUCCAGUUCUAAAAAUCGGCUAAGAUCCUUACA